rnacentral:lncRNA from 1 species
CUCUGAGUGACUUGCCCAUGCACCAGUCACAAUGAAGGAAAGUGCCCGGGACGGAGGGCGGAGGCGGGAGGAGAGGCAUAGGUGGAGCAGAGAGGGCUGCUGAUUGGACGGGUCCUCUUGGGCUCCGACCAAUAAAAAGAACACGAGCGUGAGCCUCCCCGCGGGAGCGAGAGUCCUCGGACUACACCUAGGGGAACCAGACUCUACUCUCACUGGCUCUUGCCAAAGAGAUCCUGCCCAGGAAUUAAAACCCCUGGAGGAAGGACGAGCUGAUUUUCUCCUGGACUCUCAUUUGAAAAACUUAACGUGUUUGGAGUCACUUUACAUUCUGGACCCUGGGAGCUUUGGGCAUGUGGCUUAAUGACAACUGCAAGAUCUAAGCGUUGAAGACACAGUGUGAAUUCUGACCACCAUCACCUCCACUGGCUUUGGCCUCAGCCUUUUCCUGAUAUGGAAAGUUUGGAUUCAGAGGAAGAGCAGAAGAAAACAGCCUAGGAAGGGGCAGGUCCCAGAAGAGCUCACUAAAUCUAGAUGAGGUGAGUGAGGCAUAGAGAGGAACCCAACCUCAGAC